rnacentral:rRNA from 1 species
UAAGAUGCCCCCCUGUCCUGGGUUCAGCCCAAUCUCAUCUGAUCUUGAAAGCUAAGCAGGGUAGCGGUUGGUUAGUACUUGGAUGGGAGACUGCCUGGGAAUCCUGGGUGCUGUAG